rnacentral:pre_miRNA from 1 species
CAAAUACUUCCUCCGUCCGGAAAUACUUGUCAUCAAAAUGGAUAAAAGGAAAUGUAUCUAGACGUAUUUUAGUUUUAGAUACAUCUAUUUUUAUCCAUUUUGAUGACAAGUAUUUUCGGACGGAGGGAGUAUUUA